UGUUUUUGUUUUUUUUGAGACAGGGUCUUGUUCUGCUGUCCAGGCUGGAGUACAGUGGCACAAUAAUGGCUCACUGCAGCCUUGAUCUCCUGGGCUCAAGUGAUCCUCCUGCCUCAGCCUCCCAAGUAUCCAAGACUACAGGAACCAAAGAAAGAUCUUGCAUUUUCUAAUGAAUUCUGAGCCCACAGUACAACUCAUCUUUGGAAAUCACUGCUCCAGAAUCCAAAGCAUGGUGCUCAGGUACU
rnacentral:lncRNA from 10 species